CUUCAAAUUUAAAAGUUCUGAGCUCCUGUACCCAAAUCUAAAUUCUGGCCCCGAGGAUGAACCAAGGUUUGGGGUCACGGGUCCCAGAGGGGAGGCUUCCCAGGGCCCCACAGUCUACAGCUGAGCCAGGCCUCCAGCUGCGCAGAUUCAGCUGGUUCUGGACCAAAACCCGAAAAAAAAAAAAAAAAAGAACAAAUCGCUGCAGGCUCUUCUUAGCCCAAAUAAGCGUGGAGUCUGGGCCGUGUGAGGCGAAUUUGCCUUGCUUGGAGGUCCUGCGCUGCAGCAAGCAGCCCCCUGCUCCUCCCCCUGCAGAAUCUCCCUCUCCCAGAUCUUGGUCAGACUCCGGGACCCUAACAGCAGCGGAGUGCUUGAGCUCCUAAAGCGCCUACUACCAUCCGAGCCUGAGAAAAUCAGUCCGGGCUGGUCGGUAGAGACCCUGAAGCCAGGAAUGGACACUGAUUGGCUUCUAGAAACCAAAUACGCAAUGGGAGUGAAAACUGGGACCCCGUCAUGACUAUCCAGGCAGAAAGGCCCGACACAGUUUGCGAGGGGAGAUAGUGAAAGUGAAAUCGCUCAGUGGUGUCCGACUCUUAGCGACCCCAUGGACUACAGCCCACCAGGCCCUCCGUCCUUGGGAUUUUCCAGGCAAGAGUACUGGAGUGGGGUGCCAUUAGAGGGGAGAUAAGAGACCCUAAAACCAGGAACGAUGGUGACGUUGAUUGGCUUCUAGGAACCGGAUACGCAAUGGGAGUGAGAACUGGUCCUCGUCAUGAGUAUCCAAGCAGAAAGACCCGACACAGUUUGAGCGCAGAGAAAGUGAAAUCCCAGGGAGGUGGGGAUUCCUACGAGGUUUGACUCCCCUGCCCAGACAUCACCUUCUGGCCUAAGACCCUGAGAGCCUUACCCGGGGACCUGGGACUUUGCCCUGACCCCUCUCCUACUGCCCGGAGGACCUUCUAAAUUUGGUGAAGAAUUCAUAACUGCUAUUGCUGUUUGUUGAAAUAGGCUCAUUUCUGCUAACUUUUACCUCAGCGCAAAUGUCAACACAGUGAAAAAGGUAGGGGCCUCCUUGGUGGAAGAGUGGUUAUGAAAUGGCCCUCCAAUGCAGAGGACAAGGGUUUGAUCCCUGCGGGGGAACUGAGAGCCCAUGUGUCAAAGGACAACUAAGCCUUCAAGUUGUAACUGCUGAGCCUAUAGCCCAUGCUCUGCAACUAGAGAAAUCCCUCAUGCCUCAGUGAAGACCCACUGCAGCCAAAGAAAACUUUACCCAUCAGUUGAGUAUGAAUCCACCAAGAUUGCUACUGUCAAACACACCUCUGGCUCCGUAAGUAAGCAUUGUUACUUCUUCCUCUUCUAUUCCCCACCAGAUUAUAUCCACUCUCCAAUAGCUUGGACUCAUGCAUGAUGUAUUCUAUUUAUAUCCUGACAAUUCAACAAUCCUCUCAAGCCCUGCUGACUCCUCCUCCUCCCUCUCUCACUGCAGCUCCCACCUCUCUGGGAGUCACGUGGACAUGCCUCCAGAAUUUGCUUGCAGGCAGGCACACAUAUCCCUCCCUCUUUGCACUCCACAUGCUCCAGUGAUAUUUAAUUAAUUUCCCUUUUUUAAAAGUAAAUUUUCCUUUUUCUAAAAUUAGCCAAUUUGUUUUCUGCUGCUUAUAGGUAAGAUUACUGAUUUAACAUUAAGCUACAUAUCUAUUUCUACCAUCUCAAAACACAGCUGACAUUAGACAUGACUUCAGAACCAAGUCACUUCCAAAAACUCAUAUACACCUGAACCUUACAUGGCUUCCCCUCUCUCCCUCCCAUUGCAAAAAUUAUCAGAACAUGGCAGAUAAAUAAAGGAAUUCUUAUGCCAGAUAUCUCAAAUCUCAUAGUGUAUCAAAGGUUAAACAGAUAUGAACUGCCAAAUAUUUACUGUUUCCUCAGCUGCUUAGAAGAUUUGGAAAAGACCCUGAUGCUGUGAAAGAUUGAGGGCAGAAGGAGAAAGGGGUGACAGAGGAUGAGAUGGUUGGAUGGCAUCAUUGACUCAAUGGAUAUGAGUUUGAGCAAACUCUGGGCCAUGGUGAAAGACAGGGAGGCAUGGCGUGCUGCAGUCCAUGGAGUUGCAAAGUGUCGGACAUGACUGAGCGAUGGAACAACAACAACUGCUUAGAAGGAUGGCCGGAGAAAUUAUGGGACAGAAAAGGUGCUUCAGAAAUCAAUAUGGAUGUUGUCAUCAAUUACUGUUUGUAGCAGGAGCCGAGAUUCUGUAAUACAGCCACUCGUUUUCAUACAUUUGUCUCAGUGGCCGGUGAAGAACCAAAUCAAAGGCAACAGAAGAGAUAAAUUAGUUAAGACACAUUUUAAUAAACACAUUAAAGACAUUCCAACCAUUCCCCUUAGAGAAAGAAGAUCAACUAUUACGAUCCCCAUUUCAGAGAGAAAGCUGCGAGGACAAGAGACUCAUGAUUGCCAUAAAGCUCCAGUCAUCUGAGUGCAAUCAGAAACCCAGCAGGACCAUCCAGCUGAGGCAGAGCUGGGACUGAUGAAAAGGAACAAAGGGUAAAUGACAAAACCUGGGGCCGUGCCAGGAGAUCUUCUCUCAGGGUCUCAGCGCAAGUCUGGAUCUCAUGCAGUUAAGCCACAGGAAAGGGAAAAUUCUCUCAGCAAAGGCAGAUGAGAAUUCAUAGAUGAACUCUUGAGUUCUGGCAUUGGUAAAGGUUACCUUCCCACCAUCAUGAUCCAGAGCAACUCCAAUCUGCCGGGGGCAGUAGGACAGGAUCUGGAAGGGCCCCGGGCUGGUGCAUAUAGACACCCCAGCUGAGGACAGCUGCAGAGUCCAGACCCCUCCUCAGAGGUGAAGUUGAGAAAUCCCCUUCUCACCACUGACUCUCUUGCCUCCCCCACCAGGCAGAAUUUUGGCCAUAUUCCAUUUUCCCGAGACCAUUCUUCUUCCAACUCCUCAUUCUCCUCUCUAUAUCCAGGAGAAAGAUACCCAUCAGUGAUGCCUGUAAACCCACCAAGAUACCUGCUGCCAAACAUGCCUCUGCUUCCAGCCCUGUAUCUCUUUGCGUCUUCUUCCUCCUCUGCUUCCCACCAGAUCCUGUCCACUUUCACUUCCCAGUACACUUUGCCCCACAUGAAGCCCUUACUGCCCAGCACCCCGGGCUCUGGAUCAAAUCACUGACCACACUGGCAUUUGUUCAUCCACAAGCCAUGAACAUCAUACUCUUCCCACCUGGAGACACUGAAAGGUAGCCCUUGAAUGGGAAUUAAGGAUGAUCCUCACUGUGGGGACAAGGAGACAAAGGUGUGGCCUCACAAAAGAUACAAAUGAGAUUUGUCCCAUAGGUUCUGGGGCCUUCAUGACAAUGGUGGGAGGCUCCUCAGGGGGCCGGGACAAAGACUGCUUUUGACCUUAUGUUCAGACUAUUAGCAACCAUAUUUAGAGAGUGUAAAGAACACAGAAAAUUCAAGGCCUCAGGCAAUGCGAUGAGACUGGAGAGCAAAAAAAGAUAAGGACUAGGAUCACUACAGCUGAACAAAUCUGGGGAAAGGUUUAUGGUUCUGAACUCAGGAUAAAGAAUUUGGAUACAUUAGUCACAUGAAGACCUUCCUCUUUAAAACAAACGGGCUGACCCGUAAGUAAUAAGAGUUUCACAGGAAAAUGGUAAUUUGCAAACUUCAGCCACUAUCCUCUCCAGAUACUCACUUGUCUUAUAGUCCAGAUCCCUCAUCAACUUUCCUAGAGUAAAAGAACAAAAGGACAGUGAGCAAUUCUUUCUUGUUCUUUUUUCUUUAGCCACACUGCUCGGCUUUUGGGAAGACCAGGGAUUGAACCUAGGUCGACCGCAGUGAAAGCACUGAGUCCUACCCACUGGCCCACCUGGGAAUUCUUGACAGGAAGCAGCUCUGGCACCACAGCUUCUCAGUCAAACUCUUUUAUGGUAUCUCAUAUAACUUCAACAGUUAACAGGGGAUCAUGAAAGUUCAAGUGAAACAGAGGAAUUAAUUCAGGAGACACCCACAGCUGUCCAGUCUAAACAGGUACAAAGAACAUUCACUCGAAACUUCUCGUACCACCAGGGCCUGGAUCUCAUCUUCUCCUGUAGACUGAAAAUUCUGAAUCCUGUCCCUGUCUCCCUUCAGAAUCUUCAGAUGGUUUAGAAUUUUACCCUAUGGGGGGGAGGGGGGACAUGAAUAAUCUCAAGAUGAAGAUGAAAAUGCCCUCAAUAAGAAAAGACACCUGCAAAAAUGAUUUCAGAGUGAAAUUAGAUAGUCUUUGAUCUUAUGUAGUAUUAUAAGAUAACUAGGUUGGAAUAGUUUUCAUCCUAGUUAAUGAAGAAGAAACAAAGUGAGUGCUAUAUUAGCUUAGAGUAGCUUCUCAGAAGUGAGAUAAAAUGCAUGUUAAACUUAUACUGUACUGUAUGUCAAUUACAUCUCAAUAAAACUGGGAGAAAAAUAAGUGAGAUUAAAUUUAUUAUCAUUACAACUA